AUUGAACGCUGGCGGCAGGCCUAACACAUGCAAGUCGAGCGAGCGGCGGACGGGUGAGUAAUGUCUGGGAAACUGCCUGAUGGAGGAGGAUAACUACUGGAAACGGUAGCUAAUACCGCAUACCAUCAGAUGUGCCCAGUUGGGGUUAGCUAGUAGGUGGGGUGACGGCUCACCUAGGCGACGAUCCCUAGCUGGUCUGAGAGGAUGACCAGCCGCACUGGAACUGAGACGCGGUCUAUACUCCUAAGGGAGGAAGCAGUGGGGAAUAUGGCACAAUGGGCGCAAGCCUGAUGCAGCCAUGCCGCUGGUGUGAAGAAGGCCUUCGGGUUGUAAAGCACUGGCAGCAGGGAAGCGUUACCCGCAGAAGAAGCACCGGCUAACUCCGUGCCAGCAGCCGCGGUAAUAC
rnacentral:rRNA from 1 species